rnacentral:lncRNA from 1 species
AUGAACCCGGAGAGCUGCAGCCGGUGGAUGCCGCGACGGACGGGGAGGCGAUGGCGAAGGGGAGUUUCGGUCAAGUGGAAUCUGAUGGGUUGCAGGGCGAGGAGCAGGGAGUAGCCUGGCGUAGAUACAGAAUAUCGGCCUCUCCCCACGACCCACCUCUCCCACAGAGCACAACUAGGUUUACCUCCGCCUCCCUUUUGAUUGCAAUUCCUUGUGUGAGCUCCUCCCUCUAAUUCAUGUCCUCCUAAUUCAUUUUUUUCAGUCAUCUAGGGUUUGGAUGGGUCUGGGUUCCUACAACGAUGGCAGUAGAGGCGACAAAGACCACUUUGCAACCUCGCCGAACUGUGUUACUGAACUGAAAGGUACUGUAGCAAUCCUUCUGGUUUGGUAGCUAAAACCAAGAUACUUAGCUUGUUAAUGCCUUCAUUUUUUUGUAGUAAAAACUAUAAUUCCAACAUCUGUAGAGUAUUAGAUUUUAGUUGUUUGUUGUAGUUUGUUUUCUGGGUUUUUGUAUCAAGCUAGAAUGAGCAAGGCUCGCUUCUGAUUGUUGUAUGCCAACCCAUGUUUUCUAUUUGUAGAUGGUUGUGUUUUUUCAGUUGGCCUACAUGUAAUAAUUAGUAAUUAAUGUCUGGAUUACUUUCGACCAAAUAUUUCGAAGGUUGCUUGUUCUUUUGUACGUAUCUAUGUUGGAUUAUCAAUGCAUGAUCUAAUUAUCGUUUUCUUCAUAUCGAUAUCCUAUUAAUUACUACUACAUCAAGGGACAUCUUCAUGUUGUUGGUUUUCUUACAAAUCCACUCGUUGCUUGUGGACAUGAUGGUUUAAUUUCUUUGAUAUUUUCUUCAGUUUAGGGACGGCAGUAGUUCUACCACUGAUGGUGUUGCAUGUAAGCUGGAUGUUCUCAUUGUUCUGUUGGCUCUGAUCGGGUGAGUUCUUCCCUAUUUCCUUUUUUGAUGCCUCCAUAUGCUCAACCUAUCAUGGUUUUAGUUGUAGUGUGAAUGUUUUACAGUUUAUAUAUAUAUUUCUGUGUUCUCUGGCAGUGUGGAUGCUAUGAAGUUAAGGUUCUUAAGAUGAAUGAUGUUUAUAGAGGGUAGAUACAGUUUUGUCAUUCAUUCAUGAUCAUAUUUGGCCUCUCUUAGUGGACAGUCUAUGGUAAAUCUAAUAGUUGGUCUUGAUAGUGAUGCAGGAUGUGAGGUACAACUAUCAAAGUGACAUUAAUUUUGGUUUUGCUUCCUAUCCGCAGCCUCUUCUACACUAGGUGAGAAACUGGUUACAAGAGUAAAUUUUAUUACUUUCCUAAAAAUAUCUUCCGAGAAACAUGAUUAUUAUGUUCAGUAGUGUUGCUUCGCUAUUCCAAAGGCACAUGGAAGUUUACAUAAAAAAAUCUUACAGUUGUUUUUUAUGGAUCUUCAGAAAAGGAAAACACUCGACGAUCUGGCUCUGUCUCAGGUAUAUGCUCCCUCGCCCGCAAGUUCCGCUCUCUCCCAUCUACGCAUCACGGCAACACUUCAGCUCCUCUUAUGGAUUCUCACCAGAUCAGGCCACCUCACUCACCUUCAAGUAAACCUUGAGCGACGACACAGUAUGUUUUCGCGAACUAAUCUUCUUUAGUCAACCUAUCGAUCCAUGUUGCGUGUGCUUCUUAAUCGACAUGUGAAUAAUCUGUUGAUGCAUGGAAAUACAUGCUGAUCUCCUAUUUUCUUGCUGCCUGCAAGAUAGUAUAUGCAUGAAUCUUGUUCAACUACAACAACCUGAAAGCCCUGUUAUUCUCAGAAAAAUUAUCAUCUAUGGUUGUAUACAUAUGCCUCUUGAUAUUUACCAGCUCUCCUUUAAGAUUUCCUAACUAGCAUACAUAUCCUAGCUAAAACAUAAGAGUUCGAAUUUGUACAUGUGAGCUGCACAUUAAGUUACUAUCACCAUUGUUUAACAACACUGUUAAUUAUGACUCAGGUUUGUAAACAGUCAUCCAUACCAUAGGUACGUACGUUAAUGCAGAAGCACUACUAUUGAAUUAGAUGUAGUAACUGCGUCAUUCUGAACAUUUUAGCAAGUUCAUGCAUUAACCGCUUAGGGUCCAUCGAUGAAACAAAACCAAUCAUAUGAAUUGAAGGAGCUACUGAAAUAAAAUGGAAAGAACAAAGAGAAAAUUGAAGGUUAUCUAUAUGAAAAUUCAGAGAAUGAGAUAGGAGAGGUGAUUCUUCCCAAUAGGAAAAAGAGUGGAGUAUAGUACUGUUAUCCUACCUUUUCUACUACAAUCCCAGUUAGCAUAAUAAUGUGACAUGGAAAAUCAUAUUAUUGAUUCAAUUAUGAUUCAAGCAACAUGAAAAAUUAUCCGUGAAAUUCACUUCUAAACCCUGGUUUUAUUUAGUUUUAACUUCAGGAUAGGCAUUUACUGUAUUGUAAUUGCCAAACUUCCAAAAUUCUACUAUUACCAUUGUUUAACAACACCCUUUUUGUCACGGGAAAAUAAUAGAUGGAUAAACGUCUCAAAUCAUACACUAUGAAGCUUCCAACACUUGCUUACAGUGUCUUUCUUGUGUAAUCAGUCUGUCGUGAUGGACAAAGUUAAGAUCCCAACAAAAAGUGCUUCUUGAUACUAUGAUGCAACAACUUAACCUUCCAAAUUGCAGUUUACUAAACAGAAAGUGCUUCUUGAUGCUAUGAUACAGCUUCUUGAUGCUAUGAUGCAGAAACUUUAUGCUAUGGGCAAGUGAUUCAUGCUGCUCUUGGUUCUUCUGUACACUUGAAAUAAGGAACAAUAUUCCAAAGUAUGAUAGUGUUUGGUUAAAACAUAUACCUUAGUCCAGUACUUCAGUUUCUUCUUCUGAAGUUAUGUUCUGGUUUUCUACUUCUUUGCUCUGCUUUACACAAUUUACAUGGCUUUCGAGUCCUUUUAUUUAGGACUAGGGAAAAACCUCUAAUUGUUAACUUUGUAUUUUCGCACUGACUAGCGCAUAUCUUGCCUAAGCGCAGGCUUAAGCAAUGCGUUUUGUUCUGCCCUAGCGCCUAGGUGCUUACACCCUUUCCCCCUACUGAUUUAAGAGGUGUGGAGAUAUUUUAAGGAGGUGUUGCUAGCUUUGUUGUUCAGAUCACAGAAGAAGUAUGUACAAGUAUACAUCAUCGCUGUUACUUGCUUGCAAUUAUAGUGUAUUUUAAAACACACACUUGGCGAACAUCUGCUCGUGCUUACAAUGCUCUAUGAGGGAAAUAAUAGAUCAACACUUGCUUUUUUGCUCCUUUCGAAGAGUUGUCAGGACCUCACCGGCAGAUCCCUCAGCUAUCAGGGAAAGCAGCCAUCAGCGGAGAUUGAGGGUGCCUCUCCGGCGAGAGUGCUCGUGUCGUGGUGGUUUCCCACCAGCGGCAUGGGGGAGGCGGUGUCCUCUACCGCUAGGUCUACUUGCUGGCGACCUC